AUCUGUAUAUCUAAGUUUAAGAGUUAGGUUCUUACCCUAUUAAUGUGUUAUGCACUGCAGGUC
rnacentral:tRNA from 1 species